CGGUUUGGUAAAUCUCUUGUGAAAUCGACAGGCUUAACCUGUCGGCGCGCUUGAGACACUACCAGACUCGAGACCGGGAGGAGUCAGAGGUAUUCCAGAGGGAGCGGUAAAAUGUGAUAAUCUCUGGAGGAUCACCUAUGGCGAAGGCAUCUGACCAGAACGGAUCUGACGGUGAGGGACGAAGGCUAGGGGAGCGAUCCGGAUUAGAUACCCGAGUAGUCCUAGCAGUAAACGCUGCGAGCAAGAUGUUGCGCAUCUCACGAGGAUGUGCAGUGUCGAAACGAAGGUGUUAAGCUCGCCGCCUGGGAA
rnacentral:rRNA from 1 species